AACAGUAUAGGGUCAUUUCAAGCUAAACAAUAUGUUUUUAAAUCUAAUGACAGGAAUAGCAUGGAUAUACAGUGUGAAGUUGAUGCCUUGUUAGAACGGCAGAAAAGAGAAGCCAUGCCCAAUCCAAAGACUCCCUCUAGCAAACGACAAGUAGACCCAGAGUUUGCAGAUAUGAUAAAUGUAUAAGAAUUCUGCAAAGCAGAAGAGGUUGAUGAAGAUAGUGUCUAUGGUGUAUUUGUCUCUUAUAUCGAAAUAUAUAGUAAUUACAUUUAUGAUCUAUUGGAAGAGGUGCCGUUUGAUCCCAUAAAGCCUAAGUAAUAGCAAAGAGAGUCCCUUGUCAGCU